ensembl:lncRNA
CGAGCAUCCAUUAUGGGGUGGAGCUGGGGAGGGGUAGAGAGGGAAGAAAGAAAACGGGGGUUGGGUGAUUAUACGGAGCUUAAACCUUAAACUGUAGUUAGGAUAAUUUAAGGUUUUCCCCAACACUUAAUCACAGAAUUUGUGUUGAGAUUCUUUAUGGGAAACAACCCCCAUAUCCUCAUUAUUUCAUAACAGAAGAAUAGAGAUGACUUCACUGCUUCUAACAUGCCAUCCAGCUGAAUCUCUUACAGAAUAGCCGCACUGCUUUUAGAGUAAUAGUGCUUAUAUAUCACAAAUCACGUCGUUCUACUAUUUAAAGUAGCUCAAUGACUAUGUAAGGUGACAAUUCCAAAUCUUCACCACUCACCUGUUUGAAUUUCAUACCAGAAGAAGCACAUUUUAUACUUAAAAAUAUCUGACAGCUCUGGGCUGGGGAGAUGGCACCGUGGAUUAGAAGAGCGCCGGGCUGCAGCCUCUGUGCGCACUGAUUUUAAAUUGACAUUACAAUGAAAACGAUUGUUCUAGAAGUUGGUAUGGAAAACGGUACUGAGGCUUGAAAGGCCAGAAGAGGCAUUGGAGAAGGUGCAGCCUCAGAUGCAGUGGAGACCGCCCCCCCCCCCCAGACCCCUAGGACAUUGGAAAUGCAGGAAACACAGGGCAUUUACCAAGGACAGUGGGAGUUGUGGAAUGGAUCCGGCUGAGCCUGUAAGACAAGCUCUCCGUGGAUGUCAGGAGAGGAGAGAGUGCCCAAGCCCUGUGGAGCCCAGAAGUUCAUGAGUGAGCUACAAAUGCUGAACCCUGAGGCUUUUAUAUGGGUGCGUUUUGGUUUCACAUUGAUCUGAUAACUCGCUCUUUUUUUCCACACUGCUGGAAUGAGGAAGUAUGUUUGAGGUAGAAUCCCACUGGAUCUUCCGGAACUCACUGAAUUCACAGCUGGCCUUAAGUUCACAAAGAUCUGCCUGCCUCUGCCUCCCAAGUCCUGGUAUUUAAAGGUGUGAUCCAGGAGGCCCAACCUUAUGUUGUUGUGGAGACAAACUUCUUUUUUACUUUACAGGAGCCCAAUGUUGCAAGACAGAUUUCUAAAAAAAAAAUCUUAGAAGUCUGUUUGUGUUUGUAUGUAUGUAUGUAUGUAUGUAUGUAUGUAUGUAUGUAUGUAUGUAUGUUAUUUGAGCUCUUGAACUUUUAAAACAUUGAAAGGUUCUAGUUUGAAAUGAAAUGUUUGGGCUGGAGAGAUGGCUCAGUGGUUAAGAGCACUGACUACUCUUCCAGAGGACCUGAGUUCAAAUCCCAGCAACCACAUGGUGGCUCACAACCAUCUGUAAUGAGAACUGAUACCCUCUUCUGGUGUGUCUGAAGACAGCUACAGUGCACUCAUAUAAAUAAAAUAAAUAAAUCUUUAAAAAAAA